UUUAACAAUCUUUUGUUCGAUAAUAAUUGUAAUCGUUACAUCUGAAAUUUAUUUGAAAAAAAUUAAAUUAUUACUGUAUGCGGAACGAUAAAUUUUUUAAUUUGCGUUUUGUUGUUAGUCUCUAUAAUUGUUAUAAUGGUGUACCUGAACGUAAAACAGACGAAAGUGAAUUGACAACGAAUAUUUUGAUGAAUACACUAAAUGAUUUAGAAUCAAAUAUCAACUUUGAAAUUAGUAACAAUAGUACUUUGAUUAGAUAUGACUAAGAUAUUUUUAAAGGGAGAUAAUAUACCAACAAUGCGUACAUGAUGCUUAUUUAAUCAACUGCUAAAAUGGUCAGAUAUUUCUUUGUAGAAUGUUGGGCGUAAAGUAUAACACAUUUCCACCAAAAGUCUACCAUUCUGUUUUCCACUAAUAGGUACACGUUUCUACCAAAACCAUAUUUAUAUAAUUAACAGAUGGGAUAAAGUAAGUUUAUUUAAAAACUAAAUGCACAUAAUAUCGAAAAACAAUAUAUAGUAUUAUAAAUGUUCAUACAAUCAUUUUUAUAUAAUUAUAUUGUAAGAAUAAUUAAGGAAUAACAAUAAUAAUAAUAACAAUGAGCAUGCAUGUACGAAUACAAAUUCAAAAAAAAUAAUUGGUUUUCUUAAAAUAUAAAAUUAAUAA